AUGAAAUGCUGUUGUCCUCCGGUCAUGAUGAAGUUUAUUUAUGUUUGUCAAAAUAAGAAGGUAAAAAAACUUGCAGAAAAAUAUCAGUGUUGGUUUGUUGAGACAGAAAUUCCACAGUGGGAAAAACAAAAGACGUCAAUGUUGUUCUUCCUGAUCCAUAAUCGCGUAAUUUCCUUCAACCUCUCUUCACUGCCACAUCAAGACGAACGCUAAGCAAGAAUAAAACCUGUAAAGAUGUUUAUAUUAUGUCCUUUCCAAGUGCCAGUUUGUGUGGUGUUAUUUGGAUAUUAACUCAUUCACUCAUUCAGAAAGUGAGUUCAUCUGGAUGUAAAAGUGAAGAGCGUCUCAAAUAAAACAUGAAAAGUUGGUUAUAUAGUCUAUAUUUUUACAAUGUGGGCAGCUGAGAAAAAAGUUUGUCAUUUAUUAGAAUUUGAGUUGGCAUUACCCACACCUCACUCAAGGCGAACAGCAUGUGCCUGCGUAAAAGUCGAAUCUGUGUGAAGUUCAAACAGCUUGCAUAUUUUACAGUGUUUACAAAGUUGUAUGUUGUGGUUAAAGCAAAUAAAACUACAAAAAAAAGUGUAAAUUAAACUUAGAUUUCAGAGGUUAGUGGAACAGUUCCCAUCAUUCCUUCUGUGUGUGUCCUCAGAUGUAUGCUUUGGUUGGAUAAACAUCCCUGUGGCACUUCUCAGUGAAGGAUUCUGAGUUGUUUUCCGGGAAACAAAGGUGAAUUUUGCUUUUGUGGGUGUGCAACCCAUCGUGCAUUGACACAAAGAAGAGCCAUGCAACUGUGCAGUAAAAUACACAGAAACACACUGAAUCAAACAAGCCAACAUGUGUAGAUGUGACUGAUUCAAGACCGUCAAAAUAAAGUAACAAAGUAGCGUUUGUACCUCUCACGUGCCUUAACCUUUUCCAUAGUAGAAAAAGUCAGAUGUGUUUUAUAAUAACUUUAUUUCUAACCUUGAUCUGUCAUUUCUUCAACCCAGACGCUCACCUCCCCUAUUUGGGUCAACUUUUAUCCCUUUUCUCCUGUCAUGUCAACACUUGAUCUACUUGGCACCCCACCCCACUGUUGCCCUGAGUUAGUCUAGACUGUUGGCGAGUUUCUGCCUUCUAUCACAUUGUAUUAUAAACUUUUCAAAAGCUAGAUUUGUCAGAAAAAAGGGGUUUGAAUCUGGAGAAGUAAAGAUGUUCAUGCUUUCUUAGCAGGCAGAAGCAAUGCCACGGUGACGGAAUGUAUUAUGUUAAUUUUACUAAUACCCAGAGGCAAAUAUUACGCUUGUUACACAUAAUGAAAAAUACUGGUUUGUAGAGUAUAAAUUUGGUGUGUUUUCAAUAAAUCAUGCCUGAGAAAGAACGUGUUGUCUGUUUCAUAAAACUUAGGAGUGUAUUCGUUUUCUUAUCGCUUUCAGGGUCACAGGGUCGCCCAAACCUGU
rnacentral:lncRNA from 1 species